rnacentral:rRNA from 1 species
UACGGAGGAUGCGAGCGUUAUCCGGAUUUAUUGGGUUUAAAGGGUGCGCAGGCGGGAGAUUAAGUCGGCGGUGAAAUUUUGCAGCUCAACUGUAAAAGUGCCUUCGAAACUGGUUUCCUUGAGUGUAGAUGAAGUAGGCGGAAUUUGUGGUGUAGCGGUGAAAUGCAUAGAUAUCACGAGGAACUCCGAUUGCGCAGGCAGCUUACUAAACCAUAACUGACGCUCAGGCACGAAGGCGUGGGGAUCAAACAGGAUUAGAUACCCUGGUA